AGAGUCAAGGUGGAGAAGUAGUCUCUUCACUUUGAAUAAUGGUAAGUGAGAUUCAACUCCUCCAACUUAUUUUC
rnacentral:pre_miRNA from 1 species